UACAGAGGUCUCAAGCGUUGUUCGGAUUUAUUGGGCGUAAAGGGCGCGUAGGCGGCGGGGUAAGUCGGGUGUGAAAUCUCAGAGCUCAACUCUGAAACUGCACUCGAUACUGCUCUGCUUGAGGACUGGAGAGGAGACUGGAAUUCACGGUGUAGCAGUGAAAUGCGUAGAUAUCGUGAGGAAGACCAGUGGCGAAGGCGGGUCUCUGGACAGUUCCUGACGCUGAGGCGCGAAGGCCAGGGGAGCAAACGGG
rnacentral:rRNA from 1 species